rnacentral:rRNA from 1 species
CACGUAGGCGGAUUGUUAAGUCGGGGGUGAAAUCCCGGGGCUCAACCCCGGAACUGCCUUCGAUACUGGCGAUCUCGAGUCCGGAAGAGGUUAGUGGAAUUCCCAGUGUAGAGGUGAAAUUCGUAGAUAUUGGGAAGAACACCAGUGGCGAAGGCGGCUAACUGGUCCGGUACUGACGCUGAGGUGCGAAAGCGUGGGGAGCAAACA